rnacentral:rRNA from 1 species
CCUACGGGAGGCAGCAGUGAGGAAUAUUGGUCAAUGGGCGUAAGCCUGAACCAGCCAAGUCGCGUGAGGGAUGAAGGUUCUAUGGAUCGUAAACCUCUUUUAUAAGGGAAUAAAGUGUGGGACGUGUCCUGUUUUGUAUGUACCUUAUGAAUAAGGAUCGGCUAACUCCGUGCCAGCAGCCGCGGUAAUACGGAGGAUGCGAGCGUUAUCCGGAUUUAUUGGGUUUAAAGGGUGCGCAGGCGGGCUGUUAAGCCGGCGGUAAAAAUUCAGGGCUCAACCCUGUCGAGCCGUCGGAACUGGCAGUCUUGAGUGGGCGAGAAGUAUGCGGAAUGCGUGGUGUAGCGGUGAAAUGCAUAGAUAUCACGCAGAACGCCGAUUGCGAAGGCAGCAUACCGGCGCCCAACUGACGCUGAGGCACGAAAGCGUGGGGAUCGAACAGGAUUAGAUACCCGAGUAGUC